GAUUACAAAAGUGAGACUAUAAUAAAUGAUGAUGGUUAUCUUAUAUAUAGAAGAAGAAAUGAUAGGGUUGCUAUUAAAAAUGGGAUUGAACUUGAUAAUAGAUUUGUUGUGCCUCACAGCCUUACAUUAGUUAAUAAAUACCAAGCUCAUAUUAAUGUUGAAUGAUGUAAUAAGUCGAGGCUUAUAAAGUAUUUGUUCAAAUAUGUUAAUAAAGGUCCGGAUCGAUCCGCCGUUGUUAUAGAAAAUAAUAUUAAUCAUGAAGCCUCUGGCUAGGGACAACGGUAUAAACAAGUUGAUGAAAUUAAGCAAUAUCUGGAUUGUCGAUAUUUAUCUGCGCAUGAGGCUGUUUGGAGGUUAUUUGAUUUUGAUAUUCACUUUAGAC
rnacentral:lncRNA from 1 species